AUUGAACGCUGGCGGCAGGCCUAACACAUGCAAGUCGAACGAGUGGCGGACGGGUGAGUAAUGUCUGGGAACCUGCCUGAUGGAGGGGGAUAAGUACUGGAAACGGUGGCUAAUACCGCAUACCAUCAGAUGUGCCCAGAUGGGAUUAGCUAGUUGGGGGGGUAACGGCUCACCAAGGCGACGAUGCCUAGCUGGUCUGAGAGGGUGACCGGCCACACUGGAACUGAGACACGGCCCAGACUCCUACGGGAGGCAGCAGUGGGGAAUAUUGGACAAUGGGCGCAAGUCUGAUCGAGCAACGCCGCGUGUGUGAAGAAGGUUUUCGGGUUGUAAAGUACUGUUGUUGGGGAAGCGUUAUCUGAAGAAGAAGCAACGGCUAACUCCGUGCCAGCAGCCGCGGUAAUUC
rnacentral:rRNA from 1 species